UCAGAUCCCGAAACCAGUGACCCAUCCCUCCUAGCAAACCCGGGCAGCGACAGCACCAGUAUUCCCAGUCCAGACACCCUUUCCCAGUCCCAGUUGCAGCUGCAGGCGGAGUUAGAGGCGCAGGCAAAAUCGCAGUAUAACCACCCACAGCUGAAUGCACAGCUGAAGCCGCAAUAUCACCAGCAAACCAAAGGUCAAACCAAGGGUCAGAAAAAACCAUGCAAGAAAGGCUACAACGGACAGCUGGGAGCCCCCCAGGGUCAAGGCCCCUACAGAGGCAAAGAAGGAAAAUAUGGACUAAACGGUUUCCUUGGCAAUGGAUAUAGAGGUAAACUAAUU